rnacentral:rRNA from 1 species
UACGUAGGGGGCAAGCGUUGUCCGGAUUUAUUGGGCGUAAAGAGCGUGUAGGCGGCCAGGUAGGUCAGCUGUGAAAACUCGAGGCUCAACCUCGAGACGUCGGUUGAAACCACCUGGCUAGAGUCCGGAAGAGGAGAGUGGAAUUUCUGGUGUAGCGGUGAAAUGCGCAGAUAUCAGGAAGAACACCCGUGGCGAAGGCGGCUCUCUGGGACGGUACUGACGCUGAGACGCGAAAGCGUGGGGAGCGAACAGG